UACGUAGGGUGCGAGCGUUGUCCGGAAUUAUUGGGCGUAAAGGGCUCGUAGGCGGUUUGUCGCGUCGGGAGUGAAAACUCAGGGCUUAACCCUGAGCCUGCUUCCGAUACGGGCAGACUAGAGGUAUGCAGGGGAGAACGGAAUUCCUGGUGUAGCGGUGAAAUGCGUAGAUAUCGGGAGGAACACCAGUGGCGAAGGCGACUAUCUGGGCUGCAACUGACGCUGAGGCGCGAAGGCUAGGGUAGCAAACAGG
rnacentral:rRNA from 1 species